GUCAAUCAUUUCAUGCUGUAAAAGUCCAGUCCCACUUUCAAAGGGCAAGUUCUUCUGAGACAUUCCUGCUUGGAGUGUGUGUGGAGAUUCCUGCCCUGGCUGGGGAUGGCCCUCAAAGUUACUCCUCAAGGACGAGUGGAAGAGAUUUACCCAUGGUCUUUGGUCUUGGAUUUUAGGUGGCAGGCAGAAGAAAACACAGAAUUUCUCAAGCAUGUGGGGGCUUUUACAUCUUGCUAUCACUUGGUGUACAUGUUAUUCCCCAUCAGAAGGAUGGUGACAUGCAACCAUACAGCCAGAGAAGGAACAGCCUAAGUGAGACUGACUGAGUGGAACUGCUGUGGAGAGUGUCAGUGCUAAUCCAGCCAGAGAGAUACCUGGCACACAUCACUGCCCAUCAGGGCUUCACUGCUCCCAGGGAAAGCAAUCACAGCAUUGAUUAGCUGAAGAGGCUUCCUAUUGGUAUUUAAACUGGGUGGAAGAAGUGGACAAAAAUGCCCUCAAACCACUAAAAGAAACACACAUGCCCCCCAUCAUCUGCUACUAUUGAGCUACCAGACAUUAACAAUCUGGGGAUAUCCCAAAAGAAGCAGCUAGUAAAGGACUUCAAUCUAAGUGACUUCUUCAGCAACAAAAUCAUCAGCCUUGAAAACCAACAAUGACAACCUGUAAGCCCUUUGAUACAGAACACAAAUUGUUACUAUGUUUCCUGCUACUUCUCAAUUCACAACUUUCUGACUCUGUUGUGUAGGUACAUUAAAAGAACCAAGGUUUUUCCUGAAC